ensembl:misc_RNA
UUGACAGCCCUGGGGAAUGAGCUCUCUAUAUAUCCACAGAACAGGUAUACAGUAGUGUGAACAGCAAUAGCGCAGGCUUCCCCAUGUUGCCCUGUCAAUGUGCCUCAACCCUGACCUGGAGGGUCCACCUGCAAUGGUCAGAUGGUGGUUCAGUCUCCCCUCUGCAGAAGCUACCAGUGAAGAUACC